rnacentral:sRNA from 1 species
AUAAAACAAACAAUUGAUGAGUUAUAUAAAUGAUUAUCUUCAAUAUUAUAUAGCUUAAGUAGUUAAGUUAAUAUAUAUAAUUUAAGAUGGAUUAAAAAAACAAUUUUGUCAAAUUUCUAAAUUAUAUUAAUAUAGUACAAACAUAACCUUAGCAAAUGUGAAUGGUAGAGCAUUUCUGAAGGCAUCUCCAUCGGUGGUAUCUCUCAUUGUUUCUCAUAAUUAAAAU